rnacentral:rRNA from 1 species
CCCUUAGAUGUCCUGGGCCGCACGCGUGCUACACUGAACGGUUCAAUGGGUAAGGUAGUGCGAAAGCAUGACCUAAUCUCGAAAUCCGUUCGUGCUGGGGAUAGAAGCUUGCAAUUAUCCUUCUUGAACGAGGAAUACCUUGUAAGCGUGAGUCAUCAUCUCACGCUGAAUACGUCCCUGCCCUUUGUACACACCGCCCGUCGCUCCUACCGAUUGAGUGUUCCGGUGAGGCUUUGGGAGAAUGGCCUCAACAUGAGUUUAUCGUGUUUUGCCGUUUGAACUUAGUCAAACCUUAUCACUUAGAGGAAGGAGAAGUCGUAACA